CAUAGUCACCAAACAGCACAUCUGCAACACCUUGGCCUUCAGUUCCCGGAAGCCAAGCAGCUACAAGUGCAUCUAUUUUUGCUAGAUAGGGCUGGAUCACAACAGGGCGGCCAGAAACGAUAACAACGACACAUUUGACAGCUGCGCAGACAUUGGAGAUGGUGCUUGCACCAGGUUCAGCUAUUGUCAGACUCAUGCUAUCACCAGCAGUUUCUGCAUAAGGAGGCUCACCCACAACAACAAUUGCGUAUGAGAAUUUGUUUGACUUGACGUAUUCUAAGUCAGGGUUCUCAUUGUAGACAAUUUGAGUGCCAGAUUCAACGGUAUUCUUCACCGCAGUUAGGAUUGUGGUUCC
rnacentral:lncRNA from 1 species